CUCUAUUUUUGUAUGCAAGAUAUACGUGCGUCGGGACACGCUUUCAACCGGCUAGUCAACACCCGCACAGAGGACGGUGAUACACUCGAUUACCAAUUUUCUAUGGACGUAUAGAAUCGAAGUGCGACACGUACAAGAUUUCGAUGGCGUGGAAUCGUGACAGUGCCUGGCUCAGAAUUCCGAACACAAUCUGAAGGAGGGCCCCGAGAUCUGUCAGUUUGGAAUGUUACCGGUUUCCAUAAAAACUCGAGGACUCUAGUGGAGUUUUGGAAUCUUGAAAUUUCAUUAAACUCUUCCAUGGCGUGAAUUCCUUUGGAGUCUCCUCCUCAGCGGAGUGCAGCAUUUUCAUCUCCAGGUUUUUUGAGGUUUCGAAAAACUUUGAUAGUACGAAAGCUGAUGGAGGACUGAAUAAUAGAGGAGGAAUUCCAGACGGUGAGAUGAGAUUCUGCGAUGAGAGAUUCCCAGCGAUACUGACAUCCGGUUGGACUGAGUAUCGAGUCAUAAAAAAUCUCUCUAAUUCUCCGUGGAGAAAAGUGGCGUCGAUAAUGAAUCGGGAUCGGCCGGAGGCGGGUUAUAAUCCUCGGAGAAAAAGUGUUUUGAACUUUUUACUGAAAACUGUUCUCUCGUUAUUGAGGAAGAUUUUUUGAAGGUCGAUAACCUUGAGAAACGAAAACGUCUAUUUCCGGUUCUCAAGAAUCGAAGUAAUCUCUUCUCGGUUUCUUGUUACCCAACAGAGUCCGAUGAAGUCAUAAACCGAUCUCUCAAUUCAGCAGCAUCCGCGGUUUCAUGACGUAACUUAUGAAAGUCAACGUGCGAGGUCGUUGUUCUGCCACGCUCUAUUCUCAAGAUCAACGUGAACUUGAGUGCUUCAACUCCUCUCUCUUUCCCUUAGCUCGAACGCUUUCAGUGUCAAGAUCAAAAAUGAUUUGUCCUUUCCCUGCCAGGCGACACGGGACAGGCGUGUCUAAUAAAACCAUUUCAAUUUUUCAGUCUCGAUGACUCGAUGCGAUUUCACUCUUUCCAUCGAUCAAUUUUUCCAAUCUCAUCGAAUCUUCGGGUCAUCAAACUCUGCCUCGAUGACCUUGACAUCGCCUUCCUCGUUGAAUUCAAUUAUUUCCUGUCACUCAAUAGCGAGCAGUUUCCAAACCAUUCCAAAGUAUCAGCGAGUCAUUCGAGGGAGAAUUCAAAGAAAAUCUUCAAAUUUCUCAAAAAAAAAACUCAACUUUUUUAUCUUUUUUUAAACUCCUGUU